UACGAAGGGAGCUAGCGUUGUUCGGAAUUACUGGGCGUAAAGGGCGCGUAGGCGGCCGUUUAAGUUAGAUGUGAAAGCCCCGGGCUUAACCUGGGAAUUGCAUUUAAUACUGGAUGGCUUGAGAUCGAGAGAGGAAAGUGGAAUUGUGAGUGUAGAGGUGAAAUUCGUAGAUAUUCACAAGAACACCAGUGGCGAAGGCGGCUUUCUGGCUCGAUACUGACGCUAAGGCGCGAAAGCGUGGGGAGCAAACAGG
rnacentral:rRNA from 1 species